GAUGAACGCUGGCGGCGUGCCUAAUACAUGCAAGUCGAGCGAAUGGAUUAAGAGCUUGCUCUUAUGAAGUUAGCGGCGGACGGGUGAGUAACACGUGGGUAACCUGCCCAUAAGACUGGGAUAACUCCGGGAAACCGGGGCUAAUACCGGAUAAUAUUUUGAACUGCAUGGUUCAAAAUUGAAAGGCGGCUUUGGCUGUCACUUAUGGAUGGACCCGGGUCGCAUUAGCUAGUUGGUGAGGUAACGGCUCACCAAGGCAACGAUGCGUAGCCGACGUGGGAGGGUGAUGGGCCACACUGGGACUGAGACACGGCCAAGACUCCUACGGGAGGCAGCAGGAGGGAAUCUGCCGCAAUGGACGAAAGUCUGACGGAGCAACGCCGCGUGAGUGAUGAAGGCUUUCGGGUCGUAAAACUCUGUUGUUAGGGAAGAACAAGUGCUAGUUGAAUAAGCUGGCACCUUGACGGUACCUAACCAGAAAGCCACGGCUAACUACGUGCCAGCAGCCGCCGUAA
rnacentral:rRNA from 1 species